AAUCAACGCUGGCGGCGUGCCUAACACAUGCAAGUCGAGCGAGAAAGGGGCUUCGGCCCUGAGUAAAGCGGCGCACGGGUGAGUAACACGUGGGUAAUCUGCCCUGGAGUGGGGAAUAACACCGGGAAACCGGUGCUAAUACCGCAUACGAUGGCGAGGUCUGCGGAUUUCGUCAUGAAAGGAGCAAUUCGCUCCAGGAGGAGCCCGCGGCUGAUUAGCUAGUUGGUGAGGUAAUGGCUCACCAAGGCUCCGAUCAGUAGCCGGUCUGAGAGGACGGUCGGCCACACUGGAACUGAGACACGGUCCAGACUCCUACGGGAGGCAGCAGUGGGGAAUUUUUGGCAAUGGGGGAAACCCGUAGACCAAGCAACGCCGCGUGGAUGAUGAAGUCUCUUGGGAC
rnacentral:rRNA from 1 species